UGUUAGGAAGUUGGAGCAUAAUUGAUCUAUUGAUUGUCAUCCUUUGUGUUGCGGUCGGGAUCGCGCGGUGGUUAAAACCUACCAGCCCUUCCCCUAGGAGUAUGCGUUUAGCACUUUGUUUCGAUUACUAAUAAAAACUUUCGCAAUAAGUAUGUGAGUUCUUCAUGACUAAUGUGAGUCCAUGGUAUGGAUGCACUUUCACUU
rnacentral:lncRNA from 1 species